CACUUUCGAGUUUACAAUUUAAUAAAGCUAGCUUAGGAUGAUGCAAUCAGAGGGGGAAAAAAUAUGAUAAGAUAAUGUGUUACUUCCCAGAAGCACCUGGUUUCUUGGCUUGAUACAUUUCUCCCUCUCUCUGUGGAACAUGAAUUCGAGGUCAACAUUCAACAUGUCUUAGUCUCUGACUAUAACACCAGCCUACAUAGUCAAUUAGUCAUAUAAAAACCUUCCAGCCAUAGAUUGUUUUUGCUUUCUUGGCAAGAUAAUCACCCACUUAGCUACUAGUAGUUUUGUGUAUAUUGCCCAAGUUAGAACUUAGAAGCAGCCUAAACUCUUAAUGAGUUUCACCACCCCUAGUUCUGAUGAACUCCUGCAAAAUAGGUUUCCACUAAUGGAAUCAAAGGGAUUCCUUGAUGCUACCGAAGAAGAUGAAAUAACAAAGUUAACAGGCAAAACCAUGUUGAGCUCUGAAAGUUCUUGCGCACACUAUGGUGAUUUGGAUCCCAAAGACAACAAAACAAAGCCAAACAAAAGAAGAUCGAGGGCAUCGAAAAAGACUCCUAUGAUUCUCCUGAAUGCCAACACUACGAAUUUUCGAGCCUUGGUGCAACAGUUUACGGGCUGCCAGAGUGCUCCUUCUUCUUCAUUCAAAGGUCCAAUCAACUUGAACUUUGGAGGAGGAGGGAGUGAAGAAAAUGAUAUGGACGUAGCUGAUCAUCAAUCUAGUAUCUUUGGAUACAACAAUUUUGUUCAAAACAUUCAGGCUGAUGAUCAAGUGCGUGAUCAGCAGCAGCAGCAAUUAGAAGAUCACGAACGUCUGUUAUCUAGUGGGAGCUUUGAUGGAGAUGCUUCCCUUUCAACAUAUGGUAAACCUGAAGCUUAUGCAACCGCCUUGGAAAAUAUAGGUGCAGAGAAUGAAUCUGACAAGGCAUAUAAGAGAGAAAAGGCUUACUGCAGAAUAAACUUCACUCCAAUGAGUGCUGCUUUCUCUGUAUCAGCAACAAUCAGAAAAAUGGCUAAGAGCAUUUUCUUACCUCCUUCUUGGGCUCCGUCGACAAAAUUGCCCAUCUUUCAAUUGUCAUGUCGAGCAAAUUUGAAGCAGCUUAACUCAUCAAGAAAUAUUCAUGCUUGUCUGCUCAAGUAUCCUCUUGCAAGCAAGAUCAUGAUUAGAAACUUACCAUAUACUGCUAGUGAAAGUAGUUUGCUGAAGGAAUUCUCCAAGUAUGGCAAGAUAGCUGAAGUUAAGCUUGUCAAGGAUGAAAAGGCAAAUAGGUCAAAAGGACUUGCAUUUAUCCAAUAUACUUCCCAGGAAGAUGCUUUGCUUGCUGUGGAUAACAUGGAUCACAAGUAUUUUGAUGGCAGGGUGAUUUUUAUUGAUCUUGCAAAACCAAGGUCAAAUGAGUUUGGCGGAUAUCCAAGAACGUCAGGACCCCCUGAGGAGCAGCAUAUGCCUGCUGAAGAUGAAGACGAUGAAUGAGCAAAAUGCAGCAAUUAGGAAACCUUUGAGACUUCUUAAGCAUGGACUUGACUAGGCAAGUGGAAUUUUCUGCUGGUUCUGAUUCUACACAUUUUUCGGCUUCUCUCUUCCCAAUCUGUUGCACUUGAUUUUUCUGAGAGCUGCUGAGAAGAUGACUACAUCAGUGACAGCAUUAUCUGUACUUGAAAGCUCAAUGGCAGUGCCUGAAAAACCUCUCUCACCACUAUCACCACCAACUGUUUCAUGCUGCCCUAGAAAACAGCCUGAGAUGAAAGUCUCAUGGCCUCGCUCGACUAGAACUCCUUGGGUUGUGAAAUGGAUGAAGUAGCAGUUGUUAAUGCGGAUUCUUGCAGCAUCAAUUACAAAAAGUCCUCCACCUUGGUAGCUUGAGUCAAACAGUAUGUCCCUGAAAGUAACAUCUUCAUAGUAGAUGCCACUGUUUUGGUCUUCCCUGUCUGAAAGGCCAUGAAGAUGAUGAAUGGUAGUACUUUCUUUUUCAAGUUUUCUUGAGUUUGGGGACCAUAGCUCAAUCAGAUGCCUAUGUCCUGGAAAUGUGUUGGAUGCUCUUAAAGUGCCUCCUUGAACCUACUGGGCAAGAAAAGAGCUGGUCGAAAGUCAGGAACUUAGAAUGAACAAUCCCAAUCCUGUAUCAAGCAUUUUGAAACCCUCUAGUCAAAGUCUUCUUCAUAUUUCAGUCACGAA